rnacentral:lncRNA from 1 species
UGCGUCCUACCUCCUACUGGCCCCCGUGCCCGGCUGGCCUUGGGUGUUUGGCUGUCUGCCUUCUCUUCGUGUUGGCCUCUGCACACUAUUCCUGUUGGACUUCGGUUUCAAGAAUAUGGCGUUUAUGAUCAUGUUCUUUUGCCUCCCGUGACGUUCUUGCUUUCUCUACAUUAGUAUCAUACGUUUUGUGAUCUCGCCCCUCCUGUUCAUAUGUUAAACUCACUUGAUUCCAGCGUGUGUUGCCUCUCUCUACAUUGCUUGGACCCUGUUCUUGGCUCUGGCGUUUCCCACCUGGCUUUCACAUGGACACUCGUGAGUCAAUCAGCAGGAGGACCAGCGCAUCCUAAGCUCUGCUACUUCAGGACUGGUGACUUGCUGGGCUUCGAGUUCAUGCCAGCCAUGCAUGCCAUCUGUGGCAAGCUUUUUGGUGGCCACUGCAGAAUGAAGCUAGUGCAUGUGGCAUUGGCCAUCAGCCAAAACUGAUUGUCUCUUGGCUCUGGGGUCACCAGCCAAGGUGCCACCUGCAGGAUCUCUGGCUUUGGCCAGGGACCCAUGCUGCCCUCCUAGACAACGGGUUGAGGUUCAGGGUGAGAAGCAGUUUGCUGUGGGUUUUGUACUGUUCUGCAUCUCUUCCUGCCUCUGGGCCUUUCUUCGUGGUAAACCUUUGUCAAGGUCUGCACCAUACCUCAUCACUGUCAGGCCAUUGAGUUUUGUCUAGGUUGCCAGUUGGCCCCAAUUGGCUUCCUGGGCAACAAGGACCUCGAGAACUACCUGUGGACACAGGCCCUCUGCCGGUGCAUGAGACACACACCUACCCUCUCCAGCCUUCCAGGAACCCUGCUGGCUGCUGGACUGAUGGGCAGGCUGGUACGUGUGGACAUGUGCUCACUGUCGUCAAGCUGUGGCUCCAGACAUGCACAGAAAUGGAGAGACCUCGUGUGCCGUCACCUAGCUACAUCAUUUAUCAGUUAUGGUCAACCCAGUUUCAUCUGCAUCUCCAUCUCCCUGCCUGUAUUGUUGAUCGAAAGUCCAAGACACUGUGCCAAUUCAACUGGGACCACUUUGGGAGACUGAGACACUCUGCUGGUGGUGAUCGUGGUGGGCUGCACUCUCACUACCGUAUCAGAUCUGCCUUUUGCUUUUCAUGUUAACUAAUGACGUUCCAGAGAUGGGCCUUAGAAACAAAAGUCUUCAGAGUUGACAAGAAGUCUUAGAAAGUGAUGAAGCUGCCUUUUCCCUGUGUCCACAAGAGGAAAGAGAGACUGCUCUGUUGUAAACUCUUUCAAAGACUUAUCUUUCAGUCUUUGAUAAGGUGCUUACUUGAGACCUUUCACCAGAAUAACAGUCUUUUUUUCCCCUCUAAGACGGAGACUUUGUGUGACUAUUACAAUUAUCAGCGUGUCCUGGUCUCAUGAUAUAACUCUGAACUUGAAAGUAAAGUAUAAUUUGGAAAUUGUUUCUGUGUUCUGUGAAAAUAACCUCCCCAAAGUAAUCAGUAACCGGUUGUCUUACUUGGUAAUUUGGCACUCUGGUAAUAAUGCAAUUAUUUCUCUGUUCUGAAACAGUAUAAACAGUUGUAAGCUUGCAUGUGUGAUGGAAACAAUAAAAGCUUGUAUCUCUAUUAUAUUUUAUUAUUU